rnacentral:lncRNA from 1 species
GCCAAUCAGAGCGCGCAGCCGCGGCUGGCCACAGCUGUCCUUUCAUGGAAUCAUAGUCAUAGAAUUACUCAGGUUGGAAAGGACCUCAAAGAUCAUCAAGUCCAACCGCAGCCUAACCACAGUACCCUAACUCUAACAACCCUCUGCUAAAUCAUAUCUCUGAGCACCACAUCCAAACGGCUCUUAAACACAUCCAGGGACGGUGACUCAACUUUUUUUUCCCUGUGACUUGGAGAUGCUGAACAGAGGAACUGAGGGGUCUUCAUCUGCCAUCAUUGCUUAUGAGGAAUAACAAACACCACAAAUAUGAGGAGGCCGUUUAACAAAACCAACUGAUGUCUGUUCUCUCCACUAAACAUUCC